ACUGCAUCCUUAUGUAAUACAUGUAUCACUAGCCACUUUAACUAUGCCACUUUGUUUACAUACUCAUCUCAUAUGUAUAUACUGUACUCGACACCAUCUACUGUAUGCUGCUCUGUACCAUCACUCAUUCAUAUAUCCUUAUGUACAUAUUCCUUAUCCCCUUACACUGUGUAUAAGACAGUAGUUUAGGAAUUGUUAGUGAGAUUACUUGUUGGUUAUUACUGCAUUGUCGGAACUAGAAGCACAAGCAUUUCGCUACACUCGCAUUAACAUCUGCUAACCAUGUGUAUGUGACAAAUAAAAUUUGAUUUGAUUUGAUAGUAAUUAAACAACGUACUUCCUCCUCAAAUCAAAUGUUAUUAGUCACAUGUGAUGAAUACAACAGGUGUAGUAGACCUCACAGUGAAAUGCUGAAUACAACAGGUGUAGUAGACCUCACAGUGAAAUGCUGAAUACAACAGGUGUAGUAGACCUCACAGUGAAAUGCUGAGUACAACAGGUGUAGUAGACCUCACAGUGAAAUGCUGAAUACAACAGGUGUAGUAGACCUUACAGUGAAAUGCUGAAUACAACAGGUGUAGUAGACCUUACAGUGAAAUGCUGAAUACAACAGGUGUAGUAGACCUCACAGUGAAAUGCUGAAUACAACAGGUGUAGUAGACCUCACAGUGAAAUGCUGAAUACAACAGGUGUAGUAGACCUCACAGUGAAAUGCUGAAUACAACAGGUGUAGUAGACCUCACAGUGAAAUGCUGAAUACAACAGGUGUAGUAGACCUCACAGUGAAAUGCUGAAUACAACAGGUGUAGUAGACCUCACAGUGAAAUGCUGAAUACAACAGGUGUGGUAGACCUUACAGUGAAAUGCUGAAUACAACAGGUGUAGUAGACCUUACAGUGAAAUGCUGAAUACAACAGGUGUAGUAGACCUUACAGUGAAAUGCUGAAUGCAACAGGUGUAGUAGACCUUACAGUGAAAUGCUGAAUACAACAGGUGUAGUAGACCUCACAGUGAAAUGCUGAAUACAACAGGUGUAGUAGACCUUACAGUGAAAUGCUGAAUACAACAGGUGUAGUAGACCUCACAGUGAAAUGCUGAAUACAACAGGUGUAGUAGACCUCACAGUGAAAUGCUGAAUACAACAGGUGUAGUAGACCUCACAGUGAAAUGCUGAAUACAACAGGUGUAGUAGACCUCACAGUGAAAUGCUGAAUACAACAGGUGUAUUAGACCUCACA